GCUCCGGUGGCCUAGUGGUUAGAGCGUCCGCCUCAAAUGCGGAUGGUCACGGGUUUGAUCACCGGCCGUAUCA